AUGACUCUCGGCAACGGAUAUCUCGGCUCUCGCAUCUAUGAACAACGUAACGAAAUGCUAUACUUGGUGUGAAUUGCGGAAUCCCGUGAACCAUCCAGUCUUUGAACUUUCGUUGCGCCCUAAGCCACUACGCCAAGGGAACGUCUGCCUGGCUGUCA
rnacentral:rRNA from 1 species